GUCAGGAUGGCCGAGCGGUCGUAAGUGUUAAGGUCGCAGUCUCCUCUGGGGGCGUGGGUUCAAAUCCCACUUCUGACA